rnacentral:snRNA from 1 species
GUGCUUGCUUUGCCAGUACAUACACUAAAAUUGGAACAAUACAGAGAUAAGCAUGACCCUGUGCAAGAACAACAUGCAAAUUUGUGAAGCAUUCCAUAUCCUU